rnacentral:rRNA from 1 species
ACUCCUACGGGAGGCAGCAGUGGGGAAUUUUGGACAAUGGGCGAAAGCCUGAUCCAGCCAUGCCGCGUGCAGGAUGAAGGCCUUCGGGUUGUAAACUGCUUUUGUACGGAACGAAAGACUCUGGUUAAUACCUGGGGUCCAUGACGGUACCGUAAGAAUAAGCACCGGCUAACUACGUGCCAGCAGCCGCGGUAAUACGUAGGGUGCAAGCGUUAAUCGGAAUUACUGGGCGUAAAGCGUGCGCAGGCGGUUAUAUAAGACAGAUGUGAAAUCCCCCGGGCUCAACCUGGGAACUGCAUUUGUGACUGUAUAGCUAGAGUACGGCAGAGGGGAUGGAAUUCCGCGUGUAGCAGUGAAAUGCGUAGAUAUGCGGAGGAACACCGAUGGCGAAGGCAAUCCCCUGGGCCUGUACUGACGCUCAUGCACGAAAGCGUGGGAGCAAACAGGAUUAGAUACCCCUGGUAGCGACUGA